rnacentral:rRNA from 1 species
AAACUUCACAAUGGGGGAAACCCCGAUGAGGGAAUUCCAAGUGCCAGCACAUUGUGUUGGCUGUUCUCUGGUCUAAAAAACCGGAGAUGUAAGGGCCGGGUAAGACGGGUGCCAGCCGCCGCGGUAAUACCCGCGGCCCAAGUGGUGGUCGAUAUUAUUGAGCCUAAAACGUCCGUAGCCGGUUUUGUAAAUCCUUGGGUAAAUCGACCAGCUUAACUGUUCGAAGUCCGGGGAGACUGCAAGACUUGGGAUCGGGAGAGGUGAGAGGUACUUCUGGGGUAGGGGUAAAAUCCUGUAAUCCUAGAAGGACCACCGGUGGCGAAGGCGUCUCACUAGAACGAAUCCGACGGUGAGGGACGAAGCCCUGGGGCGCAAACGGGAUUAGAUACCCCGGUAGUCCAGGGUGUAAACGCUGCGGGCUUGGUGUUGGGGGUCCUUUGAGGGCGCCCAGUGCCGGAGAGAAGUUGUUAAGCCUGCUGCUUGGGGAGUACGUCCGCAAGGAUGAAACUUAA